CAGCACUUGCUGAAGAAAAGCCGACAGGACACAGCUUAGUACACUUCGGGCCAGGUCUCGCCUUGGAACACCCCGCGGCGCUGGAACGGUUGUGAGGCUACAAGGAG
rfam:Clostridiales bacterium 45_37 Ley3_66761_scaffold_1193, whole genome shotgun sequence.